CCCAGACUCCUACGGGAGGCAGCAGUGGGGGAUAUUGCACAAUGGGGGGAACCCUGAUGCAGCGACGCCGCGUGGGUGAAGGAGCGUUUCGGCGCGUAAAGCCCUCUCGGCAGGGAAGAAGGAUGACGGUACCUGACUAAGAAGCCCCGGCUAACUACGUGCCAGCAGCCGCGGUAAUACGUAGGGGGCAAGCGUUAUCCGGAUUUACUGGGUGUAAAGGGGGCGCAGACGGCAGCGCAAGCCAGGAGUGAAAGCCCGGGGCCCAACCCCGGGACUGCAUUGGGAACUGGCGCGCUGGAGUGCCGGAGGGGUAGGCGGAAUUCCUAGUGUAGCGGUGAAAUGCGUAGAUAUUAGGAGGAACACCAGUGGCGAAGGCGGCCUACUGGACGGUGACUGACGCUGAGGCUCGAAAGCGUGGGGAGCAAACAGGAUUAGAUACCCGAGUAUA
rnacentral:rRNA from 1 species